rnacentral:rRNA from 1 species
CGGAACGGGUGAGUAACGCGUGAGGAACCUGCCUCAGAGGGGGACAACAGUUGGAAACGACUGCUAAUACCGCAUAAGCCCACGGCUCGGCAUCGAGCAGAGGGAAAAGGAGCAAUCCGCUUUGAGAUGGCCUCGCGUCCGAUUAGCUAGUUGGUGAGGUAACGGCCCACCAAGGCGACGAUCGGUAGCCGGACUGGGAGGUUGAACGGCCACAUUGGGACUGAGACACGGCCCAG